UACGUAGGGUGCAGGCGUUAAUCGGAAUUACUGGGCGUAAAGCGUGCGCAGGCGGUCUGCUAAGAGAGAUGUGAAAUCCCCCGGGCUUAACCUGGGAACUGCGCUUGUUACUGGCAAGCUGGAGUGUGGCAGAGGGGGGUGGAAUUCCACGUGUAGCAGUGAAAUGCGUAGAGAUGUGGAGGAACACCGAUGGCGAAAGGCAGCCCCCCUGG
rnacentral:rRNA from 1 species